UACGAAGGGGGCUAGCGUUGCUCGGAAUUACUGGGCGUAAAGGGCGCGUAGGCGGUGCUUAAGUCAGAGGUUAAUCCCAGGGCUCAACCCUGGAACUGCCUUUGAUACUGGGCACCUUGAGUAUGGGAGAGGUGAGUGGAACUCCGAGUGUAGAGGUGAAAUUCGUAGAUAUUCGGAAGAACACCAGUGGCGAAGGCGACUCACUGGCCCAUUACUGACGCUGAGGCGCGAAAGCGUGGGGAGCAAACAGG
rnacentral:rRNA from 1 species